GUGUUCGCUUCGACAGCACAUGUACUAAAAGUGGAAUCAUACAGGGAAGAUUAGCAGGGUCCCUGCGCAAGGAUGAAGCACAAAUUCGUGAAGCGUUCCAUAUUUUA